CGUGUGUGUGUGUGUGUGUGCAUGUGUGUGUUAGUGUUCCAAUUUGACCGUGGACAGUGCAUAUUAGCUACAGGCAGCGAAUGAUUAAUGUCACACAUGUUUUCAUUAUAGUUUCCUAUCGAUUAUUGAGCGAUCCCACUGCUAGGCUAGGAAACCAGAGUCCUGGAGAAAACCCCUGAAGCAGGGGGAGAACAUGCAAACUCUGCGGACACAGGGUGGAAGUAGGAUUCGAACCCCUGACCCUGGAGGUGCAAGGCAAACGUGCUAACCACCACAUGCCCCCUGCAAUGGUCACUGAGAGUCAUAACAGAGAGGAGGACAGAAGAAGUGGAGGAAGCAAGCCAGUAAAGAAGAAAACAUUUGUCGCAUUCACUAAUCAAACCCAUUUCCUGCUGUAUCUUAGAAGCAGAUUUCCAUUUACAAUUAGCUGCUCUGUUCAUCUGGAGCACAUCACAUCUAAACCAGGUAGACUGCAGGUAUACAGCUAUAGGUACACAUAUACUCACACUAACAAAUUUGUUGCCUUGAAGUCCACAUUUAUUGCAAUUUCCAAAAACCUGAAGUGGAUUUAUUAUAAGUCGGAGAUUACCUUGAAAUGCAUCAUAUAAAAAGAUCACUGCAGUCAGCAUUAAAGAAAUAAAUUAGUAAACCUUCCACACUAAUGCUACGGUGAUAUUAAAAGGUCUACAUACAAAGCUUCAGUCUGCAGUCAUGUGCUUACAUCAGCUAGAGUUUUAGUCCAACCUUCCAGCUAACACCAUACAGAUGCCCUAGUUUUACACUGCUUAUUUACACUGCCUGAAAAUGACCAUGUCUUACAUUUAAAAAAAAAAAAAAGUCACUCUUGCUCUCUAACUGGAUCUUCUUUUUCUAUCUACAGUAUGUAUCAGUCCCUCUCUAUAUUCAUGGCAUUAGACCCUGGAGAGUUGGAGUCCAGGCCUGGUCUGUGAUUUCCCUUCUUUAAUACAUAUAUAAGACCUGUAGCCAGUUGCACAAGUUGAACUAAAGUUCAGUGAGUAAAAUCCAUGCAGUGAGAUCUUCAAACUAGCGCCUCACAGAAUUUAAUUUGCACCACAGACACUUAACCCAACAUUUAUUAUCUUGGCAUGCAGUACGGGAGUUGACAUCUUUCUCGUUCGUUGUUACACAUUUACCUGAAGUAAAUAAAUACUAAUAGUACUUGAAUUGAUCAUAAUUCAACAGUAAGCAAAUUAACAAAUUCAGUGGUGUUCUCAAGUAUCCACUUGAUCUGCGCUUGCUCUGUAUUCUGCU